AUUGAACGCUGGCGGCAUGCUUUACACAUGCAAGUCGAACGGCAGCGCGGGCUUCGGCCUGGCGGCGAGUGGCGAACGGGUGAGUAAUGCAUCGGAACGUGCCCAGUAGUGGGGGAUAGCCCGGCGAAAGCCGGAUUAAUACCGCAUACGACCUGAGGGUGAAAGCGGGGGACCGAAAGGCCUCGCGCUAUUGGAGCGGCCGAUGUCGGAUUAGCUAGUUGGUGGGGUAAAGGCUUACCAAGGCGACGAUCCGUAGCUGGUCUGAGAGGACGACCAGCCACACUGGGACUGAGACACGGCCCAGACUCCUACGGGAGGCAGCAGUGGGGAAUUUUGGACAAUGGGGGCAACCCUGAUCCAGCCAUGCCGCGUGCGGGAAGAAGGCCUUCGGGUUGUAAACCGCUUUUGUUCGGGAAGAAAUCCUUUGGGCUAAUACCCCGGGGGGAUGACGGUACCGGAAGAAUAAGCACCGGCUAACUACGUG
rnacentral:rRNA from 1 species